CCUACGGGCGGCUGCAGUGGGGAAUAUUGCACAAUGGGCGCAAGCCUGAUGCAGCCAUGCCGCGUGUGUGAAGAAGGCCUUCGGGUUGUAAAGCACUUUCAGCGGGGAGGAAGGCGGUGAGGUUAAUAACCUCAUCGAUUGACGUUACCCGCAGAAGAAGCACCGGCUAACUCCGUGCCAGCAGCCGCGGUAAUACGGAGGGUGCAAGCGUUAAUCGGAGUUACUGGGCGUAAAGCGCACGCAGGCGGUCUGUCAAGUCGGAUGUGAAAUCCCCGGGCUCAACCUGGGAACUGCAUUCGAAACUGGCAGGCUAGAGUCUUGUAGAGGGGGGUAGAAUUCCAGGUGUAGCGGUGAAAUGCGUAGAGAUCUGGAGGAAUACCGGUGGCGAAGGCGGCCCCCUGGACAAAGACUGACGCUCAGGUGCGAAAGCGUGGGGAGCAAACAGGAUUAGAUACCCCGGUAGUC
rnacentral:rRNA from 1 species